rnacentral:rRNA from 1 species
UUAAGCGACUAAGCGUACACGGUGGAUGCCCUGGCAGUCAGAGGCGAUGAAGGACGUGCUAAUCUGCGAAAAGCGUCGGUAAGGUGAUAUGAACCGUUAUAACCGGCGAUGUCCGAAUGGGGAAACCCAGUGCAAUUCGUUGCACUAUCGUUAACUGAAUACAUAGGUUAACGAGGCGAACCGGGGGAACUGAAACAUCUAAGUACCCCGAGGAAAAGAAAUCAACCGAGAUUCCCCCAGUAGCGGCGAGCGAACGGGGAGCAGCCCAGAGUCUGAAUCAGCUUGUGUGUUAGUGGAACGGUCUGGAAAGUCCGACGGUACAGGGUGAUAGUCCCGUACACCAAAAUGCACAGGCUGUGAACUCGAAGAGUAGGGCGGGACACGUGGUAUCCUGUCUGAAUAUGGGGGGACCAUCCUCCAAGGCUAAAUACUCCUGACUGACCGAUAGUGAACCAGUACCGUGAGGGAAAGGCGAAAAGAACCCCGGCGAGGGGAGUGAAAAAGAACCUGAAACCGUGUACGUACAAGCAGUGGGAGCACCUUCGGGUGUGACUGCGUACCUUUUGUAUAAUGGGUCAGCGACUUAUAUUCUGUAGCAAGGUUAACCGUAUAGGGGAGCCGCAGGGAAACCGAGUCUUAACUGGGCGUUAAGUUGCAGGGUAUAGACCCGAAACCCGGUGAUCUAGCCAUGGGCAGGUUGAAGGUUGGGUAACACUAACUGGAGGACCGAACCGACUAAUGUUGAAAAAUUAGCGGAUGACUUGUGGCUGGGGGUGAAAGGCCAAUCAAACCGGGAGAUAGCUGGUUCUCCCCGAAAGCUAUUUAGGUAGCGCCUCGUGAAUUCAUCUUCGGGGGUAGAGCACUGUUUCGGCUAGGGGGUCAUCCCGACUUACCAACCCGAUGCAAACUACGAAUACCGAAGAAUGUUAUCACGGGAGACACACGGCGGGUGCUAACGUCCGUCGUGAAGAGGGAAACAACCCAGACCGCCAGCUAAGGUCCCAAAGUCAUGGUUAAGUGGGAAACGAUGUGGGAAGGCACAGACAGCCAGGAUGUUGGCUUAGAAGCAGCCAUCAUUUAAAGAAAGCGUAAUAGCUCACUGGUCGAGUCGGCCUGCGCGGAAGAUGUAACGGGGCUAAACCAUGCACCGAAGCUGCGGCAGCGACACUAUGUGUUGUUGGGUAGGGGAGCGUUCUGUAAGCCUGCGAAGGUGUGCUGUGAGGCAUGCUGGAGGUAUCAGAAGUGCGAAUGCUGACAUAAGUAACGAUAAAGCGGGUGAAAAGCCCGCUCGCCGGAAGACCAAGGGUUCCUGUCCAACGUUAAUCGGGGCAGGGUGAGUCGACCCCUAAGGCGAGGCCGAAAGGCGUAGUCGAUGGGAAACAGGUUAAUAUUCCUGUACUUGGUGUUACUGCGAAGGGGGGACGGAGAAGGCUAUGUUAGCCGGGCGACGGUUGUCCCGGUUUAAGCAUGUAGGCUGGUUGUCCAGGCAAAUCCGGAUAAUCAAGGCUGAGGUGUGAUGACGAGGCACUACGGUGCUGAAGUAACAAAUGCCCUGCUUCCAGGAAAAGCCUCUAAGCAUCAGGUAACAUUAAAUCGUACCCCAAACCGACACAGGUGGUCAGGUAGAGAAUACCAAGGCGCUUGAGAGAACUCGGGUGAAGGAACUAGGCAAAAUGGUGCCGUAACUUCGGGAGAAGGCACGCUGGUGUGUAGGUGAAGCCCCUGCGGGUGGAGCUGAGACCAGUCGAAGAUACCAGCUGGCUGCAACUGUUUAUUAAAAACACAGCACUGUGCAAACACGAAAGUGGACGUAUACGGUGUGACGCCUGCCCGGUGCCGGAAGGUUAAUUGAUGGGGUUAUCCGUAAGGAGAAGCUCUUGAUCGAAGCCCCGGUAAACGGCGGCCGUAACUAUAACGGUCCUAAGGUAGCGAAAUUCCUUGUCGGGUAAGUUCCGACCUGCACGAAUGGCGUAAUGAUGGCCAGGCUGUCUCCACCCGAGACUCAGUGAAAUUGAACUCGCUGUGAAGAUGCAGUGUACCCGCGGCAAGACGGAAAGACCCCGUGAACCUUUACUAUAGCUUGACACUGAACAUUGAGCCUUGAUGUGUAGGAUAGGUGGGAGGCUUUGAAGCGUGGACGCCAGUCUGCGUGGAGCCAACCUUGAAAUACCACCCUUUAAUGUUUGAUGUUCUAACGUUGGCCCCUUACCGGGGUUGCGGACAGUGUCUGGUGGGUAGUUUGACUGGGGCGGUCUCCUCCCAAAGCGUAACGGAGGAGCACGAAGGUUAGCUAAUCCUGGUCGGACAUCAGGAGGUUAGUGCAAUGGCAUAAGCUAGCUUGACUGCGAGCGUGACGGCGCGAGCAGGUGCGAAAGCAGGUCAUAGUGAUCCGGUGGUUCUGAAUGGAAGGGCCAUCGCUCAACGGAUAAAAGGUACUCCGGGGAUAACAGGCUGAUACCGCCCAAGAGUUCAUAUCGACGGCGGUGUUUGGCACCUCGAUGUCGGCUCAUCACAUCCUGGGGCUGAAGUAGGUCCCAAGGGUAUGGCUGUUCGCCAUUUAAAGUGGUACGCGAGCUGGGUUUAGAACGUCGUGAGACAGUUCGGUCCCUAUCUGCCGUGGGCGCUGGAGAAUUGAGGGGGGCUGCUCCUAGUACGAGAGGACCGGAGUGGACGCAUCACUGGUGUUCGGGUUGUCAUGCCAAUGGCACUGCCCGGUAGCUAAAUGCGGAAGAGAUAAGUGCUGAAAGCAUCUAAGCACGAAACUUGCCCCGAGAUGAGUUCUCCCUGAGACUAUAAGUCUCCUGAAGGAACGUUAAAGACGAUGACGUUGAUAGGCCGGGUGUGUAAGCGCAGCGAUGCGUUGAGCUAACCGGUACUAAUGAACCGUGAGGCUUAACCUU